UCAUGAAGACGGCCCCCUUCUUCAUUUCACCUCCUCCGAGGGAAAGAGUGGGGAGAUCCAGUCCUAGAUCCCCUCGUAGUCCUCCCUGUCCAUGAUGUUUAUUUGGAAGUUGUGCCCUUGAGGCGCGGCUUCCGGAGCUAACGUGUUAAAUUGACCGCCUGGGGAGUACGGCCGCAAGGUUAAAACUCAAAUGAAUUGUCGGGGGCCCGCACAAGCGGUGGAGCAUGUGGUUUAAUUCGAUGCAACGCGAAGAACCUUACCUGGUCUUGACAUCCACAGAACUUUCCAGAGAUGGAUUGGUGCCUUCGGGAACUGUGAGACAGGUGCUGCAUGGCUGUCGUCAGCUCGUGUUGUGAAAUGUUGGGUUAAGUCCCGCAACGAGCGCAACCCUUAUCCUUUGUUGCCAGCGGUUCGGCCGGGAACUCAAAGGAGACUGCCAGUGAUAAACUGGAGGAAGGUGGGGAUGACGUCAAGUCAUCAUGGCCCUUACGACCAGGGCUACACACGUGCUACAAUGGCAUAUACAAAGAGAAGCGACCUCGCGAGAGCAAGCGGACCUCAUAAAGUAUGUCGUAGUCCGGAUUGGAGUCUGCAACUCGACUCCAUGAAGUCGGAAUCGCUAGUAAUCGUAGAUCAGAAUGCUACGGUGAAUACGUUCCCGGGCCUUGUACACACCGCCCGUCACACCAUGGGAGUGGGUUGCAAAAGAAGUAGGUAGCUUAACCUUCGGGAGGGCGCUUACCCACUUUGGAUUCAGGGGAUUU
rnacentral:rRNA from 1 species